rnacentral:miRNA from 1 species
UCCCUUUUAUGUUAGAUCUUCAGGUACUGUGACUUUCCUAUGUUUGUUUAUUAGUUCAAUCCAUUAAGAGAACAGUGAUCAAAUAUAAAUACCUCUGGCAGGAACAUGAAAGGGGAAGA